rnacentral:rRNA from 1 species
UACAGGGGGUGCAAACGUUGCUCGGAAUUAUUGGGCGUAAAGCGCGCGUAGGCGGCCGCUUAAGUCGGAUGUGAAAGCCCCUGGCUCAACUGGGGAAGUGCACCCGAAACUGAGUGGCUUGAGUACUAAAGAGGGUCGCGGAAUUCCCGGUGUAGAGGUGAAAUUCGUAGAUAUCGGGAGGAACACCGGUGGCGAAAGCGCUCUGCUGGGCCGCAACUGACACUAAUGGACGAAAGCUAGGGGAGCGAAUGGG